CCUACGGGUGGCACCAGUAGGGAAUCUUCGGCAAUGGACGAAAGUCCGACCGAGCAACGCCGCGUGAGUGAAGAAGGUUUUCGGAUCGUAAAACUCUGUUGUUAGAGAAGAACAAGUAGGAGAGUAACUGCUCUUACCUUGACGGUAUCUAACCAGAAAGCCACGGCUAACUACGUGCCAGCAGCCGCGGUAAUACGUAGGUGGCAAGCGUUGCCCGGAUUUAUUGGGCGCAAAGCGAGCGCAGGCGGUCUUUUAAGUCUGAUGUGAAAGCCCUCGGCUCAACCGAGGAAGGUCAUUGGAAACUGGAGGACUUGAGUGCAGAAGAGGAGAGUGGAAUUCCAUGUGAAGCGGUGAAAUGCGUAGAUAUAUGGAGGAACACCAGUGGCGAAGGCGACUCUCUGGUCUGUAACUGACGCUGAGGCUCGAAAGCGUGGGGAGCAAACAGGAUUAGAUACCCCCGUAGUC
rnacentral:rRNA from 1 species